GAUUGAUUUCCUGAAAACUUCAUAUGGGGAUUGUUCAGAUAUCCUUCUUAUGGAGGAAGACAUGAAUUUCAAUCUACGAGCAGCUUCACUAUUAGUAAGUGAUGUCCACUUCCUAAAUGUCCGAAUAAUGAGUGAGCCAAUAGGCAUGGGUAUUCUGUUUUAGAUGCUACUAAAAAAAUGAUUUUAUGAUUUUUCAUUUUAAUAAUAUGUUCAAUAUGUUAUUUUGAGCCAUUCAAAAGAGGAAAAUCAUUUAUAAUUUUUCAUUUUAGUUUUUAAACUAGUAAUUGAAUUGUUACAAAGCAUUAAGAAUAAUAUGAUAUUUGUUAAUAUUCUAUUCUCAUUGUGAUCUAUUGACAUGGGUUGCUCAGCAUUAAAAGGAAAUAUAAAAUAAAAUUUCAGUAAAAAGAAGGCAAUGAACUGUGUGUAUUAUUCUUCUAGAGAACCUUUUCCCAAGUCCAAUUUUUCUUGUUUUCUUUUGCAUACAGGAAGUGAAGCAGGGAGGAAGCUAUCUACUUGUAGCAACAGAUAUAGCUGCCAGAGGCGUUGACCUUCCAGAAACAACUCACAUAUACAAUUUUGAUCUUCCGAGAACUGCUGUAGAUUAUCUUCAUCGUGCUGGAAGAACAGGUAGGAAACCUUUUUCAGAUGAAGAAUGCUAUGUUACCAAUAUUAUUUUGCCAGAGGAGCAUUUUGUUCUGCAAAGAUAUGAAAAUGAACUGAUGUUUAAAUGUGAAGAGCUUAUCUUAUAGUUCCAUUGUUGAUUCAAUCUGUAUCUUAGAAAGUCUUGCUUUGUACUGUAUUUGAUGAAACGCAUCAAGAUAAGCUAAAAGCUCUUAAGGGAAAAACCUUGCUAGAAAAUAUAUUGUGAUUUUUGAGGCCAGAUAGGGUUCCAGACAUAGGAACCCCAAACCAUUGGGCGUUAAAAUAUAAAAGGACAACAACAACAAGAAAAGAAAGAAAAAGAAGGGGGAAAAUAAGGUCGGUGGUUGCAUAAUGUCAUUGUUUCCAUCUCAAGAAAGAUAAUCCAUCGAGCAUCUUUGAUCGACAAAAAUAAAAUGGGAAAAUUCCUUUACGACUGAGAUUCGAAAAUCAUGAUUAAAACUGUUGUGAUUAGUAUCUUUAUGGGUUCAUAUCUCAUACUUAUUUUCUUGGUUUCCAACCUGAUCAACAUAAAAGAAAAAUAAAUUAAUUAUAUUACAAAACCAUCUUCAAUAACGGAGUUUUUUAAUAUGACUGUAACACCAGAUCGAAUGUAAAAUCCUUGUGAAGAUCUAUCAGCCUCUUGUACGCCCUCUGAGUUAGCAAUCACAACGUUCUUCCCGAUUCUGGCAUUCUUGUCAAUGAUGCAUUCCCUUAUUCUUGUAUUUUCUCCUAUUCCAACGGGUACUCUUCCUUCAGAGAGCAGUGCUGCUACUUCAGCAUCAGUUUCAUAGAAGUCAGCACCAAGCAUCACUGUGUCCUUUAAGUGGACAUUAGAGUUUAUUCGAGAUCUGAUGCCAACAACACUAUGUUCUAUGAAGCAGUUGGUUAAGAAACUUCCAUGAGAUAUGAUUGAAUCAAUGAUCUUGCUAUUAUCAAUCUUUGUUGGUGGCAGAUUUCUUCUCGAUGUGUACAUUGGCUUUGCUGCGUCAUAGAAACUAAACCUUGGUGGAUGCUCAGUGAGGGCAAGGUUUGCCUCAAAGAAGGAUCUGAUAGUUCCUAUGUCCUCCCAAUAAUCAUUGAAGAGAUAAGCCCUGGUAUAAAAUUCUUUUGCUGAAGCUGGUAUUAUCUCUGAUCCGAAAUCAUUUGCAGUUGGAAAACGCCAU
rnacentral:misc_RNA from 1 species